rnacentral:tRNA from 1 species
GGGGAUGUAGCUCAGUUGGGAGAGCGCCAGCUUUGCAAGUUGGAUGUCAGGGGUUCGAGUCCCCUUACCUCCA